rnacentral:rRNA from 1 species
AUUGAACGCUGGCGGCAGGCCUAACACAUGCAAGUCGGGCGGAGCGGCGGACGGGUGAGUAAUGCCUAGGAAUCUGCCUGUUAGUGGGGGAUGACGUCCGGAAACGGGCGCUAAUACCACAUACUAUCAGAUGACCCUAGGUCUGAUUAGAUUGUUGGUGGGGUAAAGGCCCACCAAGGCGACGAGCCGUAACCGGUCUGAGAGGAUGAUCAGUCACACUGGAACUGAGACACGGUCCAGACUCCUACGGGAGGCAGCAGUGGGGAAUAUUGGACAAUGGGCGAAAGCCUGAUCCAGCCAUGCCGCGUGUGUGAAGAAGGUCUUCGGAUUGUAAAGCACUUUAGGUAGGGAAGCGGUACCUAAAGAAUAAGCACCGGCUAACUUCGUGCCAGCAGCCGCGGUAAUUC